rnacentral:rRNA from 1 species
GACGAACCGUGCGAACGUUGUUCGGAAUCACUGGGCUUAAAGGGCGCGUAGGCGGGCUGUCGCGUCUGGGGUGAAAUCCUCCGGCUCAACCGGGGAAGGGCCUCGGGUACGGACGGCCUCGAGGGGGGUAGGGGCGUGCGGAACUGUGGGUGGAGCGGUGAAAUGCGUUGAUAUCGGGAGGAACACCAGUGGCGAAGGCGGCUUGCUGGGCCGGACCUGACGCUGAGGCGCGAAGGCGUGGGGAGCGAACGGG